CAUCUGUCGGCUGCAUUGACCUGCGUUGCUAUCCGUCGCCUGUUAGCGGGUGCAAUGGCAAGAUCCAACAGAAGGCGCAGAAGGUUGAGGCGCAUUUUAGCGAUGUGCCAGUGGCAGCGCUGGAGGUCAGUCCAAGCUUUGCCCCUGACAUCAUUGCAUGUUGUGCAUUUCUGCACAAUCUGUGCAUAGACAUGAACGAUGUCCUUGAGGAUGCUGAAGCCUUCCCACCUGAAGAUGGGGACCAGAGUCCUCCCCCUGCCGCAGCAUGUGGACAGGAAAGUCCUGGACACCACCUAAGGAACAGGAUUGCUGCACAACUCUCUGCUCCUGUCCAAAUGGCACCACACCUGAGAGAGCACGAUUACUGUUAUUAUUGUUUUUUUGUGUUUUCUUUUGGCAAAACGUGGUUGUCUGUUAACUUGUGUUUUUGAAAUGAUGUGCACACAUACCUGAUUUAAUUUUGUUUGUUUUAGUGAGCUCCACUUCUCACUUUAGAGAAAAGAGGUGAAAUAAAAUAAACCUGUGCACCGUUGAUUUCAAA